rnacentral:rRNA from 1 species
UACGUAGGGGCCGAGCGUUGUCCGGAGUUAUUGGGCGUAAAGCGCGCGUAGGCGGCUUUGUAAGUUAGAGGUGAAAGCCCGGAGCUCAACUCCGGAACUGCCUUUAAGACUGCAUCGCUUGAAUCCAGGAGAGGUGAGUGGAAUUCCGAGUGUAGAGGUGAAAUUCGUAGAUAUUCGGAAGAACACCAGUGGCGAAGGCGGCUCACUGGACUGGUAUUGACGCUGAGGUGCGAAAGCGUGGGGAGCAAACAGG